rnacentral:rRNA from 1 species
UACAGAGGAUGCAAGCGUUAUCCGGAAUGAUUGGGCGUAAAGCGUCUGUAGGUGGCUUUUUAAGUCCGCCGUCAAAUCCCAGGGCUCAACUCUGGACAGGCGGUGGAAACUACCAAGCUCGAGUACGGUAGGGGCAGAGGAAAUUUCCGGUGGAGCGGUGAAAUGCGUAGAGAUCGGAAAGAACACCAACGGCGAAAGCACUCUGCUGGGCCGACACUGACACUGAGACGCGAAAGCUAGGGGAGCGAACGGG